rnacentral:lncRNA from 1 species
UGGCGUCAAGGCGGGUAGGGGAAGUAACUGUUAAUGGAAAAUAAUGCCAAGGUCGGUUAGAGUGACCUUCCCUUAAUUUUGCAAAUGGCGUCAAGGCGGGUUGGGGAAGUAACUCUUAAUUGAAUAUAAAACCAGAUCGGUUAGUGUGAGCUCCCCUUAAUUGUGCAAAUGGCGUCCAGGCGGGUAGGGAAAGUCUCUUAAUGGAAUAUAGAACCAGGUCUGUCAGAGUGACCUCCCUUAAUUUUGCAAAUGGCGUCAAGGCAGGUAGGGAAAGUAACUCUUAAUGGAAAAUAAAACCAGGUCUGUUAGUGACCUCCCCUUAAUUUGCAAAUGGCGUCAAGGCGGGAAGGGGAAGUAAUCUUUAAUGGAAUAAACCAGGUCGGUAAGUGACCUCCACCUAAUUUAAUAAAUAGUGUGAAGGCGGGAAGGGGAAGUAAUCUUUAAUGGAAAAAAUCAGGUCGGUAACUGACCUCCCCUUAAUUUAGCAAAUGGCGUUAAGGCGGGUAGGUGAAGUAAUCUUUAAUGGAAAAACUCAGGUCGGUUAGCGACAUCACCUUAGCGGACGAGUCGGGGUAAUCUAACAGUACAAGGUACAAUUGUAACCUGCAUUUUACAAAUGGCGUCAAUGAAAGAAGGGUAACUAUUGAUGACAAAGCGCUAGUUGUUAAGGAUACUCUUCUCUGUACAUGUAUUUUGCAAAUGGCAAGGAAAUUUGACCAAUUGAACACACCCCUGCAUUUUGCAAAUGCUAUGAAAGACAUAAACCUAUUAAAGGAAAGGAACAUAAUCAAUGCAACUGUAUGUCCUAUUUUAUUUAAACAAAAUAAACAACACAACUGUA